GCUAAUCUCACUAAAGAGCCCUUAUCAAUAGUGUGGGUUGGCACCUCGAUGUUGGCUUAGGAUAUCUGUAUAGUGCAAGAGCUAUAUAAAGAUGGUUUGUUCAACCAUUAAACUCCUACAUGAGCUGAGUUCAGACCGGCGUAAGCCAGGUUAGCUUCUAUCCACAACACAAAAACCUAACCAUAGUACGAAAGGACCUGGUUAUGGGUAACACUUACACUUCAAGAACUGAUAUAAUACGCCACAACAACUAUAUAAUGUAUACUACA
rnacentral:rRNA from 1 species